UACAGAGGUCUCAAGCGUUGUUCGGAUUCAUUGGGCGUAAAGGGCGCGUAGGCGGCUGUUCAAGUCGGGGGUGAAAUCCCGUGGCUCAACCACGGAAUGGCCUUCGAUACUGGACGGCUCGAGACCGGAAGAGGUGAGUGGAACUGCGAGUGUAGAGGUGAAAUUCGUAGAUAUUCGCAAGAACACCAGUGGCGAAGGCGGCUCACUGGUCCGGUUCUGACGCUGAGGCGCGAAAGCGUGGGGAGCAAACAGG
rnacentral:rRNA from 1 species